GACGAACGCUGGCGGCGUGCUUAACACAUGCAAGUCGAACGGAAAGGCCCUGCUUUUGUGGGGUGCUCGAGUGGCGAACGGGUGAGUAACACGUGAGUAACCUGCCCUUGACUUUGGGAUAACUUCAGGAAACUGGGGCUAAUACCGGAUAGGAGCUCCUGCUGCAUGGUGGGGGUUGGAAAGUUUCGGCGGUUGGGGAUGGACUCGCGGCUUAUCAGCUUGUUGGUGGGGUAGUGGCUUACGAAGGCUUUGACGGGUAGCCGGCCUGGGAGGGUGACCGGCGACAUUGGGACUGAGAUACGGCCCGGACUCCUACGGGAGGCAGCAGUGGGGAAUAUUGCACAAUGGGCGGAAGCCUGAUGCAGCAACGCCGCGUGCGGGAUGACGGCCUUCGGGUUGUAAACCGCUUUCGCCUGUGACGAAGCGUGAGUGACGGUAAUGGGUAAAGAAGCACCGGCUAACUACGUG
rnacentral:rRNA from 1 species